rnacentral:rRNA from 1 species
UGCUACAGGCUUAACACAUGCAAGUCGAGGGGCAGCAUGGUCUUAGCUUGCUAAGGCCGAUGGCGACCGGCGCACGGGUGAGUAACACGUAUCCAACCUGCCGUCUACUCUUGGACAGCCUUCUGAAAGGAAGAUUAAUACAAGAUGGCAUCAUGAGUCCGCAUGUUCACAUGAUUAAAGGUAUUCCGGUAGACGAUGGGGAUGCGUUCCAUUAGAUAGUAGGCGGGGUAACGGCCCACCUAGUCUUCGAUGGAUAGGGGUUCUGAGAGGAAGGUCCCCCACAUUGGAACUGAGACACGGUCCAAACUCCUACGGGAGGCAGCAGUGAGGAAUAUUGGUCAAUGGGCGAGAGCCUGAACCAGCCAAGUAGCGUGAAGGAUGACUGCCCUAUGGGUUGUAAACUUCUUUUAUAAAGGAAUAAAGUCGGGUAUGGAUACCCGUUUGCAUGUACUUUAUGAAUAAGGAUCGGCUAACUCCGUGCCAGCAGCCGCGGUAAUACGGAGGAUCCGAGCGUUAUCCGGAUUUAUUGGGUUUAAAGGGAGCGUAGAUGGAUGUUUAAGUCAGUUGUGAAAGUUUGCGGCUCAACCGUAAAAUUGCAGUUGAUACUGGAUAUCUUGAGUGCAGUUGAGGCAGGCGGAAUUCGUGGUGUAGCGGUGAAAUGCUUAGAUAUCACGAAGAACUCCGAUUGCGAAGGCAGCCUGCUAAGCUGCAACUGACAUUGAGGCUCGAAAGUGUGGGUAUCAAACAGGAUUAGAUACCCUGGUAGUCCACACGGUAAACGAUAAAUACUCGCUGUUUGCGAUAUACUGCAAGCGGCCAAGCGAAAGCGUUAAGUAUUCCACCUGGGGAGUACGCCGGCAACGGUGAAACUCAAAGGAAUUGACGGGGGCCCGCACAAGCGGAGGAACAUGUGGUCUAAUUCGAUGAUACGCGAGGAACCUUACCCGGGCUUAAAUUGCAGAUGAAUUACGGUGAAAGCCGUAAGCCGCAAGGCAUCUGUGAAGGUGCUGCAUGGUUGUCGUCAGCUCGUGCCGUGAGGUGUCGGCUUAAGUGCCAUAACGAGCGCAACCCUUGUUGUCAGUUACUAACAGGUUCCGCUGAGGACUCUGACAAGACUGCCAUCGUAAGAUGUGAGGAAGGUGGGGAUGACGUCAAAUCAGCACGGCCCUUACGUCCGGGGCUACACACGUGUUACAAUGGGGGGUACAGAGGGCCGCUACCACGCGAGUGGAUGCCAAUCCCCAAAACCUCUCUCAGUUCGGACUGGAGUCUGCAACCCGACUCCACGAAGCUGGAUUCGCUAGUAAUCGCGCAUCAGCCACGGCGCGGUGAAUACGUUCCCGGGCCUUGUACACACCGCCCGUCAAGCCAUGGGAGCCGGGGGUACCUGAAGUGCGUAACCGCGAGGAGCGCCCUAGGGUAAAACUGGUGACUGG